GGUCCCAUCGACUAAUGGUUAGGUCACCACCCUUUCAAGGUGGCGGUACGGGUUCGAAUCCCGUUGGGACUACAA
rnacentral:tRNA from 1 species